UCGACAACGUGCGGCUGUGGCUCGGCAAGAACUAUAAGAAGUAUAUACAAGCUGAACCACCCACCAACAAGUCCCUGUCUAGCCUGGUUGUACAGUUGCUACAAUUUCAGGAAGAAGUUUUUGGCAAACAUGUCAGCAAUGCACCGCUCACUAAACUGCCGAUCAAAUGUUUCCUAGAUUUCAAAGCGGGAGGCUCCCUGUGCCACAUUCUUGCAGCUGCCUACAAAUUCAAGAGUGACCAGGGAUGGCGGCGUUACGAUUUCCAGAAUCCAUCACGCAUGGACCGCAAUGUGGAAAUGUUUAUGACCAUUGAGAAGUCCUUGGUGCAGAAUAAUUGCCUGUCUCGACCUAACAUUUUUCUGUGCCCAGAAAUUGAGCCCAAACUACUAGGGAAAUUAAAGGACAUUAUCAAGAGACACCAGGGAACAGUCACUGAGGAUAAGAACAAUGCCUCCCAUGUUGUGUAUCCUGUCCCGGGGAAUCUAGAAGAAGUUAUGACACAUGGAUCCCAGCAAGUGAAAUUGAAGCAUCUGUGGAAGAUGCUCCAACUCCUGAGAAACCUAGGAAGGUUCAUGCAAAGUGGAUCCUGGACACCGACACCUUCAAUGAAUGGAUGAAUGAGGAAGACUACGAAGUAAAUGAUGACAAAAACCCUG
rnacentral:sRNA from 1 species